rnacentral:rRNA from 1 species
UACGAAGGGGGCUAGCGUUGCUCGGAAUCACUGGGCGUAAAGCGCACGUAGGCGGCUUUCUAAGUCAGGGGUGAAAUCCCGGAGCUCAACUCCGGAACUGCCUUUGAUACUGGAAAGCUUGAGUUCGGGAGAGGUGAGUGGAACUGCGAGUGUAGAGGUGAAAUUCGUAGAUAUUCGCAAGAACACCAGUGGCGAAGGCGGCUCACUGGCCCGGUACUGACGCUGAGGUGCGAAAGCGUCGGGGAGCAAACAGG